AAAGGCUGUGGCGGACACCGCAGUGUGGCCUUAAAGGGAGAGGCUAGAACUUAUGCUUAGAGAAAGUACCACCCGAACCCUGAUCACGUCUGCCUUUACCCCUACCCGCACCUCCGGGCUCAUACUCAGGAGCCUUAGAAGCUGCCGAAGAGACACCCUGACCGAACCUAGUAAACAGGCAACCUGACUAUUAGCAUCGACUGCCCAAAGGGUACGCUGGAAACGACUGGAUGGAACCAGCCCCGGAGACUCUCAGGACAGAGGCGGCACACCGGGGUUCCAGGCUCUGGGGAUGGGGCUGAGGAGGGAGGAGCCGCGGAGAUCACCCUGGGGAAAGACACAGUGACUUAGGUCCUUGUGAGCCAAGCGGACCGACCCCUACAUGGGAAGAGUUUCAGGCCGGCUUGCUGCAGCAAGUACUCUGCUCCCCCUGGAUAGCUAGCGUGUUCAAAGAGCCCACCUCAUUGCUGCAAAAGGCAGAGAGAAGUCCCCAGCCAGGAGUCAGGCAAACCCCCAGCCAAGACCCGGCAGCACGCUGUAGGGGAGUGACUGAGGCUAGCAGACCAGGGGAGGAGGAGAGAGGAGGGAGCUAUUAUUUACUGUGCCAAGUCCUAGGGGUUAGGCCCUGAACCAAGAUGAAAAAUACCGUCCGUGGAAGAUGCUGCUCUUGCCUCACUCAAAACCACUCCAACCUCCUUCUAGCAAGAAUUCCUAUGCACUCAAGUCUGUAACGCUAGAGAUCUUCCAACUCCCCUGCCCUGGGGUUUCCGUAAAUGGAUAAACUGUGGUGUGUCCCUCCCAAGGAAUACUACUUAGUCAUGAAAAAUGAAUGAACUCUUGAUACACACAACGGACCUGGAUGAAUCUCCAAAUCAUUACACACAGUGAAAGAAGUUACACAAAAAAGAGUGCACACUAUAUGAUUCCAUGUCUAUAAAACUCUAGAAAUGGCAAAUUAAUCUAUAGUGACAGAAAGGAGAUUGAGUGGUGGCCUGGAAGUGAGGGAAGGAGAAGGGACAGAGAGAUUACAGAGGAGCUGGAAGAAACUUUGAAGAUGACAGAUACGUUCAUUAUCCUGAUCAUGGUGAUGUUUUCAUGAGUGAAGAUAGAUGUCAAAUUUUA